CCCACUAAGUUUAAGCAUAUAAAUAAGCGGAGGAGAAGAAACUUAGAAGGAUUCUCGUAGUAACGGCGAGCGAACCAGGAGCAGCCCAACUUGAGAAUCGGGCGGUUGUGCCGUCCGAAUUGUAUGGAGAGGCAUCCUUAGCGACAGACCGGGCCCAAGUCCCCUGGAAAUGGGCGCCUGGGAGGGUGAGAGCCCCGUCUGGACUAGACCCUGUCGCCCCACGAGGCACCGUCAACGAGUCAGAUUGUUUGGGAAUGCAUCCCAAAUCGGGAGGUAGACUCCUUCCAAGGCUAAAUACAGCCGAGAGACUGAUAGCAAACAAGUACCGCGAGGGAAAGAUGAACAUGACUUUGAAAAGAGAGCCAAAGAGUGCUUGAAAUUGCCAGGAGGGAAGCGGAUGGGGGCCGAUGAUGUGCCCCGGCUGUAUGCGAAACGGCUCUUGCUGGUCCGCUGUUUGGCUCGGGGUGUGGACUCUUGUCGGCCAUGGCGGCGGCCAAAGCCCGAGGGCCCUAAGUGCCCCCGGUGGCAGUCAUCGGCAUGACUGGUACCCGCAUGCCGAAAGGCGUGUCCCUCGGGGCACUGCGCUGCAACGGCCUACGGGAUCCCCAUCCGACCCGUCUUGAAACACAG
rnacentral:ncRNA from 1 species